AUUGAACGCUGGCGGAAUGCUUUACACAUGCAAGUCGAACGGCAGCACGGGUGCUUGCACCUGGUGGCGAGUGGCGAACGGGUGAGUAAUACUUCGGAACGUACCCAGUCGUGGGGGACAACGUAGCGAAAGCUACGCUAAUACCGCAUACGUCCUGAGGGAGAAAGCGGGGGACCGUAAGGCCUCGCGCGAUUGGAGCGGCCGAGGUCUGAUUAGCUAGUUGGUGGAGUAAAGGCUCACCAAGGCGACGAUCAGUAGCUGGUCUGAGAGGAUGAUCAGCCACACUGGAGCUGAGACACGGUCCAGACUCCUACGGGAGGCAGCAGUGGGGAAUUUUGGACAAUGGGCGAAAGCCUGAUCCAGCCAUUCCGCGUGAGUGAAGAAGGCCUUCGGGUUGUAAACUGCUUUUGUACGGAACGAAAAGGUUUGGGUUAAUACCCUGGGCCGAUGACGGUACCGUAAGAAUAAGCACCGGCUAACUACGUGCCAGCAGCCGCGGUAA
rnacentral:rRNA from 1 species